UACGGGGUGCACCAGGCGCGAAAACUUUACAAUGCUGGCAACAGCGAUAAGGGAACCUCGAGUGCCAGGUUACAAAUCUGGCUGUCGAGAUGCCUAAAAGCUU
rnacentral:rRNA from 1 species